GUGAGAAGGAAUGAAUGCUUCACUGAGGCUGGAUUAUUUAAGCAAAAUAGUUCUAAAAUAUAAGUGAAAGAUCUUACAAAUUGAUGACUCGGUAACUUCCAGAUUAUUUGAAUUCUGAGAGCUGUGACUGUGAUAACAGCAAUUAGGUUUAAAGACUGAACAAUCCCUCUGCCUAUCGGAUUCAACACACCUGCAAAAACAAACGCUGAGCAAUAUAAUAAAAUGCUCUGACUGGUUCCUAAUGGUACUCAAGUUCCAUUCAAAACAUAGCAUCAAGCAGAUUAAGUACUACCAGACACAACAUAAAUUAUGGUAGUCCAAUAAAUGCUGCCAGACCUGCUGACUUUCUCCAACUAUUAUGUUUUUUGGACCAAUUAAUUUGCUUUGGUGAUUUUGAGAUAAAUGCUUGCCAGGACAAAAGAUUCCUAUUCUUUCUCCAUCUGCCUGAACAAGUAGAAGGUGCCUGGGCUUAACAUUUCAUCAAGAAAAAUAGAAUUUCUCCUUCAAUACUGUAUUGACAUGUCAUCCAAGAUGAUUAUGUGCUGAAAUGUAGUGGGACCUGAACCCAUAACCUCCUGACUUACCAGCAGGAAUGCUACUGCUAAGGCAAGCUUAUACUCAUCUCUUGUUUAUUUGUUUAGAAUUUUUGUUUUGCUUGCCAAGGCAAUUACUUAGAAUUCCAGAGAAAGACAGCAUGUUAUAGGGCAUAAAGUGAGACCAAAAUAGAAAUAACACCGCAAGAACA